rnacentral:rRNA from 1 species
CCUACGGUAGGCAGCAGUGAGGAAUAUUGGUCAAUGGACGCACGUCUGAACCAGCCAUUCCGCGUGCAGGAAGACGGCUCUAUGAGUUGUAAACUGCUUUUGUACGAGGGUAAACGCAGAUACGCGUAUCUGUCUGAAAGUAUCGUACGAAUAAUGAUCGGCUAACUCCGUGCCAGCAGCCGCGGUAAUACGGAGGAUUCAAGCGUUAUCCGGAUUUAUUGGGUUUAAAGGGUGCGUAGGCGGUCGGAUAAGUUAGAGGUGAAAUCCCGAGGCUCAACUUCGGAAUUGCCUCUGAUACUGUUCGGCUAGAGAGUAGUUGCGGUAGGCGGAAUGUAUGGUGUAGCGGUGAAAUGCUUAGAGAUCAUACAGAACACCGAUUGCGAAGGCAGCUUACCAAGCUACUUCUGACGUUGAGGCACGAAAGCGUGGGGAGCAAACAGGAUUAGAUACCCUGGUAGUC